UUGAGGUUGUGCCCUUGAGGCGUGGCUUCCGGAGCUAACGCGUUAAGUCGACCGCCUGGGGAGUACGGCCGCAAGGUUAAAACUCAAAUGAAUUGACGGGGGCCCGCACAAGCGGUGGAGCAUGUGGUUUAAUUCGAUGCAACGCGAAGAACCUUACCUACUCUUGACAUCCAGAGAACUUAGCAGAGAUGCUUUGGUGCCUUCGGGAACUCUGAGACAGGUGCUGCAUGGCUGUCGUCAGCUCGUGUUGUGAAAUGUUGGGUUAAGUCCCGCAACGAGCGCAACCCUUAUCCUUUGUUGCCAGCGGUUAGGCCGGGAACUCAAAGGAGACUGCCAGUGAUAAACUGGAGGAAGGUGGGGAUGACGUCAAGUCAUCAUGGCCCUUACGAGUAGGGCUACACACGUGCUACAAUGGCAUAUACAAAGAGAAGCGACCUCGCGAGAGCAAGCGGACCUCAUAAAGUAUGUCGUAGUCCGGAUUGGAGUCUGCAACUCGACUCCAUGAAGUCGGAAUCGCUAGUAAUCGUGGAUCAGAAUGCCACGGUGAAUACGUUCCCGGGCCUUGUACACACCGCCCGUCACACCAUGGGAGUGGGUUGCAAAAGAAGUAGGUAGCUUAACCUUCGGGAGGGCGCUUACCACUUUGUGAUUCAUGACUGGGGUGAAGUCGUAACAAGGUAACCGUAGGGGAACCUGCC
rnacentral:rRNA from 1 species